rnacentral:rRNA from 1 species
AUGCCGCAGUCCAUCGUCGGCUUCUUCUACGAAGGUUACAACGAAUUCCGCUCUCCCAAGAAGGCUCGUUAUUUUACCAAUCUGUCACGGCAACGCUAUCCUCUCGUCGACCCCUCGCUGUCUUUCCUGCCCAAUUGCGAGAGCCUUGACAUCUUGGACAGCUGCAAUGGCCUCCUCCUCUGCCGCUGCUGGAAGGUGACUGAUCCCAAGACAUUGGAUUAUGUGGUGUGCAAUCCCACUACUCAGAAAUGGGUGGCCGUGCCUGCCACUGACUGGUCCAGCAUGGUGAGCGUCGCUCGCCUGGGAUUCGACCCGGCCGUUUCUUCCCACUUCCAUGUAUUCGAGUUCAUAGAUGAGGAGUCAUGGGGUAUAUCUGAGGACGAGCUUGAUGGCGAUUGCUGUGGACGCAUCGAAACACUAGCAAUAUACUCAUCCAAAGCUGGAGCUUGGAAAUAUCAAACAGUUGAGCAUGGUCGCUUUUCGAUACCCAAGAAUUCAGUAAGCACAUUUUUUAAUGGGAUCUUGCAUUUGGCUAACUUAUUUGAAUGUAUAGUAGCUGUUGAUGUGGAAGGAGCUAAUUGGUGGCUCAUUGAUGUUCCUGAGCUACCUUACUAUGCUGAUUGUAUCGGUGGCAUAUUUCCAUCACAGGGACGGUUGUAUUUUGCUGAUUCUGAUGGUUCUAAACUAUCAAUCUGGGUUCUUGAGGACUACGUUACAGGAAAAUGGACUUUGAAGCACAAUGUGAGCCACUUGCAGUUAUUCAGAACAAAGUAUUCAUCGUAUGUGAAUAAUUAUGAGGUUAUUUCUAUCCAUCCGGAACACAGUUUGGUUUUUAUAGUCGGUGGAGUUGAGAAGACACUAAUGUCAUACGACAUGGAUUCUAGAAAGCUGUGUUUUAUACGUCAACUUGGCUCUGAGUCUUCACAAUUCUCCAUCUUUCUAAUGAUAUUGGAGUUUGGUCUUGAAUUCGGGCAGCAGUGGUUUCGGUAG